CGAAAGCCUGAUCCAGCAAUGCCGCGUGAGUGAAGAAGGCCUUCGGGUUGUAAAGCUCUUUUGUCAGGGAAGAAACGAUGAGAGCUAAUAUCUCUUGCUAAUGACGGUACCUGAAGAAUAAGCACCGGCUAACUACGUGCCAGCAGCCGCGGUAAUACGUAGGGUGCAAGCGUUAAUCGGAAUUACUGGGCGUAAAGCGUGCGCAGGCGGUUUUGUAGGUCUGAUGUGAAAUCCCCGGGCUCAACCUGGGAAUUGCAUUGGAGACUGCAAGGCUAGAAUCUGGCAGAGGGGGGUAGAAUUCCA
rnacentral:rRNA from 1 species